rnacentral:misc_RNA from 1 species
GAUGAAGAACGCAGCGAAAUGCGAUAAGUAAUGUGAAUUGCAGAAUUCCGUGAAUCAUCGAAUCUUUGAACGCAUAUUGCGCCCUCUGGCAUUCCGGGGGGCAUGCCUGUCCGAGCGUCAUUGCUGCCCUCAAGCACGGCUUGUGUGUUGGGCCUCCGUCCUCCUCCCGGGGGACGGGCCCGAAAGGCAGCGGCGGCACCGCGUCCGGUCCUCGAGCGUAUGGGGCUUCGUCACCCGCUCUUGUAGGCCCGGCCGGCGCUUGCCGACACAUCAAUCUUUUUUCCAGGUUGACCUCGGAUCAGGUAGGGAUACCCGCUGAACUUAAGCAUAUCAAUAAGCGGAGGA